CAGCUACCUCCAAGGUUCUAUCUAGAAGAGCAUCCUCGACAAACUUAUGCAGAUCCAAUGAAUCUAUGAACCUGUCAUCUGUUGGGCGCCUUCCAGUGAACAUCUCAAGCAGCAAUAUGCCAAGACUAUAAAUAUCACCACAUUUUCAAAGGUGUUAUCCACCCGUCAACAAUGGCUGCUAAAUAAGGAUAAUGCCAAUCGGCAUGGCAGUUGGUGAGAUGGUUUUCGUCGGUAAGUGUAGACAAAUAUGAUAAGAUGGUAGGUUGGUUAAUCUUAGAUUCCUUUGUAGCAACAUGAUUGUAACUGAGUUUGGCUACUCAGUUUGAAAUCCAGUGGGUAGAAUGGUUUUCUGUUUCAGAACUGAUGUGGGUAGAAUGAUGGAUCCAUAGGUACUCUUGCGUCCACCUGGGUUGUUCCUUCAGAAUACUAUCAAGGGAAAAGCUCAACGUUUCUGCUUUGAAGCGGCGUCCAUUUCUGCAUGAUUACAAUGGGGUUGAACAGAACAGCAGUAACCUCAUGCCUUGACGACCAUUCCUAGUGCCCUCCAGAUUUUCUGGUAUCAAGAGAUAUAUGGAGGAAAUGACUGUAUUAUAUUUACAAAAAUACUUCCAAAACCAUAAGGUGGAGUAAAGUUUGAUCAGGUGUUGUCCACGAUUGAUUUAAAGCCAAACCAUCAAUAAAAUGGUGGUUUGCUGUGAAAUGCUUACACACAGAUUGGCCUUAUACCCAACAUCUAAUUUAGUUGCCUGUUUUUCAAAUAUUCUCUGUCAUGGCAUGGCUUGCAAAUUAAAACGUCAGAUUUAAAAUAUGAUAUUCAGAACAAAUCCUUUUUCAGUUUAUGUGAACAACCCUGUAUACAUGUUCAAUUGGAAAACCAAGAUUAACCAUUUUCUCAGCUUACUCUGGGAGAUACAGCCUUCUUCGAAUGUAUAUACCAUUAUUUGCUCCUCUGGAGACAUGUAGCUGUAACAUGGUUUGAUUGGAGAUUGAGUAAGCAAAUUAUUUUC